rnacentral:miRNA from 1 species
UGGCAAGCAUCUUUGGCGACU